rnacentral:misc_RNA from 1 species
CAGCCCUCAGGCCCCUAGCUGGCCUGGCGUUGGGGCAUCUGCGGCGACCGCAGGCCCUGAAAGAUAGUGGCGGUGCCUGCUAGCACUCCGGGCGCAGUGGAUCUGUUUCUCGCCCAGGACGUCUGGCGGGCCGGCCGGCCGUAAAACGCCCUAAUCAUCAGAAGG